GGAGGGAGUAGCCGUUUAAUGCCGUUGAAACCAAACGCGGGUGGCUGUAACCCACUUCCUCACGGUUCGGGGGUUCAGAAUCCCUCCCCCUCCACCA
rnacentral:tRNA from 1 species